AGGUUAUCAUAUGAUAGCGUUUCAGAAAUGCUAACCCCGAAAAUGAGUAAGCGGGGAACUAAAUUUCAGUUGGUGAACCUAAAAUCACUAUUUGCGGCAACACUUAGUCGAAAAUAUUUAUACUUAGCAACCCAUUUUUUUUUUUAUUGAUAACGAAAAAAAAAAAAAUCACGCACUCUCACCUGUAACCCUAAAUCCCAUUUUUCCAUCUCCAAAACAAAAAUUCACGCUCUCUCAAAUUUCUCUUGUCUUCCUCUCCUCCUCAUCGUCUUCUCUUUCUCCUCCUUCUUCGGCCGUUAAAGAUACAUGCAUAUUCAUCCCCGUCUUCUCCAAUUUGGUCUGAUUCGAGGUCAAAUCUCCUUCAUCCUGAGUUGGGUCCAUUGGCAUCUCCAUCUAUAGAUCUAGAUUUUGUUAUGGUUCUAGGUAUGGAGAAGUCUAAGACGAAUUCAACAAAAGAGAGAACUCCUCAACUUCUAUUUCAGAUCUAUGGCUACCUCCCUGUACGUGAAGCUUAUGGGAUUAGAUUUGGCUCACGAGAUGAUGUUUCGAGUGUUAAAAAUGGAGGAAUCGUGGCGGAGGAGGAGGAGCUUGAGCUAUUGCAAGCUAAAUCAUGUAACGAAAUUAAUAGAUGAGAAGGAGAGUGGUAACGCCGACGAUGUCGAGAUUCUUGAGCCGUGUUUGAAAUUCUUUAAACCAGAAGGAGAUGAAUCGGACGUUUCAAAGGAGGCGGAUAGAGGUAUCGAUCUUAUAGCAAGAGGUAAGUGACAAGAAGACCAAAAGGACUGAUCCUAAGUUCGGUGAUGUCUACUUCAAUCUUCUCAACAAGGAGACAAAACAAGGAGAGGUGUUUUAUGCUUCUGUUUCUCUGUUUGUUCCAUUGGUUAAUUGAGAUUUGAUCCUUUCAAUUUGGCAGCUUUACAGUUUUUGGUGAGCUUGCAGGUAAGCUCAAUUCAUUUGGUGAGCUUUCAACAGAUGAAAGAUGGUGUUUUAUAGUGUUUUCGGUUAGUCUAGAUAAUAGUUCUCCUAAGAUUGGUUGGGACUGUUUAAAGAAUCGUCUUUUAUCUGCUUGUCCAUCCUGCUUAGAAUAUUUGUACUUAUGUCGUCAAUCAAGUGUCUCUAAGCCUCCUUCGCUUUAUCUUUUCAAGUUCUUUUGCUGUGGUAGGAAAGGAUUGAUUCAUGUUAAGUGUAUAAUUGUUGUCUUUUGUCUUGUUUUUUUGGUGUUUUCUUUAGAUAUGGUUGUUAAAACAUUAAUUUUUGGUGAUUUUUAGAUGUUACUAAAGUCUUGACAGGGUUAGAGUUUACAUACAAAGAGUUAAUGUCAUGACAUCACCAUAUGGAAGAGUUUUGGAUAUGUUUUCAUCACUGCUCCAAUGAAACGAGUUUGGUCUAGUUUAGGUUUUGACAAGAAGGGCCAAAAAUCAGUAUACGUUGAAAGAGAUUGCCACAAUUCCAGGAGCCUUGACGGAGCUAAAAGUUCUGUUUUGACUGCAAAUGUGAUGGGUUGUGUCUACUCAGAUUUUAUGAUAUGUGAUACGGAGAUCAAGGUAUGGAAGAAGAUCAAGAGUCAAGACAGUGAAGUGGGAAUUGCUUGGAAUGAGACAACAAUAUAAGUUCUUGGAGGGAGAGAAAGAGCAACUUAUGAUGUUCUUUGUGACCUUGUUUUAACAAAUAGGGAAUGAUGAACUACUUUGUAUAAUUACAAUUAUGUAUCUUUUGAUGAUCUAUGGAAAGAAGCAUGCUUUUAACAAA